AUGGGUGCGGCUGCUCGAAGUCAGAUUGCGAGAUGGGUGCCUCCCGUCGAAGAGGGAGGGGCAAAGCCGCUUGGCCCAGAUCUGGGAAGGACGACGCCACUUGAGGUCGCAUCCAGCCGCCGGCGGUUUCCGGAGGGAUGGUCCGCCGGAAUGGGGGGUCGAGGAGGGGGAGGCACUGCAAGCCCAAUUGUCUGCACGGGGAGGACUGCCACGAGCAUGGGAAGCGGACACGCUGCGGUCGCCGUUGUCAUCCUCAUGGGAGAGGGAGGGGCGCGAGCGAGGAGAGAGGUCGUGUGGGUUUCUUUAGGAGGAGGGAGGUCAUGUGUAGGUACGAGGGACUUGCGUGUAGUCUCCUACUGGAUUGAUACCUUGGUUCUCAAAAACUGA
rnacentral:rRNA from 1 species